rnacentral:rRNA from 1 species
UACGGGAGGCAGCAGUGAGGAAUAUUGGUCAAUGGUCGAGAGACUGAACCAGCCAAGUAGCGUGCAGGAUGACGGCCCUAUGGGUUGUAAACUGCUUUUAUGCGGGGAUAAAGUGCGGCACGUGUGCCAUUUUGUAGGUACCGCAUGAAUAAGGACCGGCUAAUUCCGUGCCAGCAGCCGCGGUAAU